rnacentral:lncRNA from 1 species
GGGUUAAGUCACAACACAGGAUUGAUGAUGCCAUCAGACACUUCCAUAAAGAGUUGGAAGUAUAUGGCAACAGCAGUGCCAACUGCUGCUCCUCAAGACCAGCAACAGGAAGCAUCAGGACAUGCUUUGAGGUUACAGUUGGAAUAGACCAAAGCAACAGUUGCUGUAGGCAAGAAGCAGUUUUAAAGUUCCAACCCACUUGUCCUCCUAGGACAUCAGAGUCCUCAGCCAAAAGCCUUACUCAGUGGGUCACCAUCCUCAGUGCAAAGUGUGUGGCUUUUGCUUCCUCACUAAACAUAACAAAUUUAAAGCUGCCCUUACCGAGAAAAGGAAGGGAAGGAAAGGAAACAUAUGUUUAAGAUUUAAAAACAAAAAAAAAAAAAAAACUGCCCUGCAUACCCAGAGUGUCUUCAAAGUCCAUUUUUACUUUCUUUGACGCAGGAAGCAGAAGAUAUCUUAAAUUUCAUAAAAUAAGAGACUUCAAACUAAACUAUUCAUUAAGUUGAGUGGUAAAACAGCAGAUUGUCUAAGGACUAGGAAAUGACAUUGGCCAAUAGGGAAGACAUUGGUGCUUAGUGUUCCUGUUAACAUGACUUGUGAGACUGUGGGACCUUCAGGAUCAUGGACUAUUUCUUUUUAGAACAGGAGAGAAGCUAUAAAAUGUCACCACAAGUCAUGUCUUCAAAACUCAUGCAUAAAACAACAGGUUUCCUUGGAUCCACAGCCUACCCUAAAAUAUGGAAAGAAAUAGACUCUAUGUUCCAAUCAUUAUCAGAAUUGUAUACUAAUAGUCAUUGAACUGUGCACUAGGUGCUGUGCUAAAUGCUUUAUUAUACAUCCAGUGAGUUCAGUACAUUGGAGUUGAACUCACUACAAGGUGAGUUCACAGAUAUGGAAACACUGGGACUUCAAGAAGCUAAGAAACACAUUCUAAUUCAUCUAUAAAAUGACCAAGCCAGAGUAUGAGCCUCACUUCUGAGGAGUCACCAACAUUUCAAUUUAGUUUUCAAGUUGGUGGGCAGUGCUUUCCUAGGCUUUAAACUAGACCUUCUUGAACGAAUGAGGCUACAGAAUUUUUGCAUCUCCAUAUUCUACAAUUACUUAUCAAGGUUGCAUACAAUAGUAAAGUGCAGAUAUGUGGAGUGGAAAUAUAGAAUAACUUAAUAACAGAAUCUAGAGCAACAUUUUUUGUUGUUCUGGUUGUGAUUCUUGUUAAGUCAGACUCCUGGUCCUUAUGAUUAGAAGAGCCUCAUAUGUAGGAGAAAAUUUAAAUAUUCAGUAAUGUAUCUAUAUGGAUGUAUGCUGUGCUCCAUAUAUAUAUAUAUUCCUUCUCACAUACCUCCCUCC